UAUUUGGCAGUCUAGUGGUUAAGACUCCACACUUCCAAUGUGGAGCGUUUAGGUUUGAUCCUUGAUCAGGGAA
rnacentral:tRNA from 1 species